CUCAGGGAGGGGCUACAGACCGUAUACAGAAAGUAUAUACCCUAGUUUUGCCUGUCAUGUCUGAGCUCCUGUGAAGGCUACAGCCUCGGCACUAACCCAACGUUCCUCUUACCCUCUGCGUUGGUCCUCAACAAGAGGAACACCCUCUCCGUGGACCACUGCCUGUUAAACAGGCCUAAAGGGAAUCAACGCACCUACAACCUGUUGACCAUCAAAGACAUUCAAAAAGGUCAGGGGUCGUUCCCGGACCCUGUGGCAGGGGCCCCGUACCCCUUCCUCCAGAGGGUCUCUGAGCUGGCGGCUCUGGAGGGGGACACGGCCCGGCAGGAGAAGCUGGUGAAGAUGACUAAGAACAGAAAGCAGGAGUCCUGAUGAGCCCACAACAUCAUCUCAGAGGAAACCCCUAGAGUAGAACCACCUCGUCUUCGAGGGGACCUCAUCGGUGAAUCCACGGGUCCAGGAUCCAAACAUCUCCCAUGGUGCCAAAGUUAUACAGACUUUUAUCGGUUGCGUCAGUUUCCUGCGUCAGUGUAUUGAUUUAUACUUUCUGUUCCUCGAUAGUGUUUGCCGACAACAGUGAAGUCUGCUCUUUAUUUCAGGUAUAAGUUGUCAGUAUUUCCCUUCUGUUAUCUAAAAUUGUUCUUGAUCAUUCUUGCGCAUCCCCUGAAAGAAAUAGCACAUAUUUACUUCAAAACUGUCUGUGUAUCAGUAUCUACAUUGGAUUGCAAGUCUGGCACAUCAACAGACUGGCUUUUCUAUCCCAUUUUGGCCCAGUUAGCAUUUUGGGCCAAAAUGCUAACUGGCUUUCCAGUAUUUGGCAUUUAUUCACAUUGAAACAAUAAAUGUAUUGUGGAGUUUUUCUGAGGUCAAUAUCUUUGAUGUACACUUAUGGUUAUUCUGUGUUUAUCACACACAGUAGGCUGAAUCGUAUGGGAG
ensembl:lncRNA